GAUGAACGCUGGCGGCGUGCCUAAUACAUGCAAGUCGAGCGAACAGACGAGGAGCUUGCUCCUCUGACGUUAGCGGCGGACGGGUGAGUAACACGUGGAUAACCUAUCUAUAAGACUGGGAUAACUUCGGGAAACCGGAGCUAAUACCGGAUAAUAUAUUGAACCGCAUGGUUCAAUAGUGAAAGACGGUUUUGCUGUCACUUAUAGAUGGAUCCGCGCCGCAUUAGCUAGUUGGUAAGGUAACGGCUUACCAAGGCAACGAUGCGUAGCCGACCUGAGAGGGUGAUAGGCCACACUGGAACUGAGACACGGUCCAGACUCCUACGGGAGGCAGCAGUAGGGAAUCUUCCGCAAUGGGCGAAAGCCUGACGGAGCAACGCCGCGUGAGUGAUGAAGGUCUUCGGAUCGUAAAACUCUGUUAUGAGGGAAGAACAAAUGUGUAAGUAACUAUGCACGUCUUGACGGUACCUAAUCAGAAAGCCACGGCUAACUACGUG
rnacentral:rRNA from 1 species